UCUGUGAUUGACAACAACCCAGGACCAAUGGGUUAGAACAAUGGCAGUAUGCAAGUGGUUUCGAACAAUCGAAAUAGAGGAGGGUGUAUGCGGUAGAUAUUCUGUGUAUGGCUGUGAACACGUGUUUUAUAACCUUGAUUCUCACUUUACUUUCUUUCUAAACAAGCCGUCAAAUUACCUCCAUCGCAAACAUGUGUCUUCAACGUUAUGCAUUUGAUUCCAUUUCAUAGCUAUCUAUUUUAGUAAAAAAAUCGACGUUAUUAACUGUAGCCAUUCACACCAAUAAAAUACAGUUGUGACUGCACCAGUAUCUGUGUGUUAGAGACCUCUGAAGUCCAGAGAUGGCUCAGAUUAAAACUCCAAUUCAAGCUAUAUAAUGUCAAAAUACGUUCGUUGAUCACCAAAUAUGGAGUUUCGCUAAGCAAAUCUUCAUUUACUCCCGCCCUGUGAUCCAGAAGAUCCCUGUGAUCCGGACAGACUGUUCAAAAGAGUUUACAGAGUUUGAACACGGCUUACUAGAGAACCAGAACUCACCUACCUCCUGUUCAGUACACGUAGCGAGCUUCCUCGGCUGUGCAGAGACAGUGGACCUUACCGGAGUGGCAGUGAACCCGGUUCCUCAGCCCUCUUAGGACCCGCCAGUGACCAUAAUCCAUCCCUCUCAGAGAAGAUAUCUCCUUCCUGCGACACUGACGCCGGACUGCUCUAUCAAUCAUGGAUAAAUCAAUGCCCAUGUCAUUUUGAUAGCACCCUGACUUGGUACGUGGAUAAAGUGGACUCUUGUCCAUGGCUACUUUAGGAUUUGUCAAGAGAACUAAAAAUCCUAGACACUUACAAGUUGCUGGGACUGAUUUCUGUCCGAAACUGUCAAGAAUCAAGACGGGUUAUUUGUUGAAGUUCUUUCAUAACUCAUCGACGCUACAGUUCUCUGAAAUACAAUGGGAAUCAGAGGAGUCGUUUCCCCUGUAUGUGAAAUGAAUCACUCAGUGCGACUGACUAUGCAGCAGGUUUUAGUGUGUAAUACAUAUUUACAACACUGUGAUAACCUCAGGUAGCAGCAUAAAUGGUUUUCUUUGCCUCUCAAAUGUAUAUUGAGAAUGAAUGUGUGUAAAGGUGUUAGCUUUGUAACCUUACUCCACAGCAUAUCUUUGCACAACUGCGUGAUAUAUAAGUAUCCCUUG